UACGGAGGGGGCAAGCGUUGUCCGGAAUCACUGGGCGUAAAGGGCGCGUAGGCGGCCCGGUAAGUCGGGGGUGAAAUCCUGCGGCUUAACCGCAGGGCUGCCGUCUAAACCGUCGGGCUCGAGCACGGUAGAGGCAGAUGGAAUUCCCGGUGUAGCAGUGAAAUGCGUAGAGAUGCGGAGGAACACCGAUGGCGAAGGCAGCCCCCUGGGCUAACACUGACGCUGAGGCACGAAAGCGUGGGGAGCAAACAGG
rnacentral:rRNA from 1 species